rnacentral:lncRNA from 1 species
AUUUUGGAGAGGUGAUGUGCCGAUUUGGAGAAAAUGGGUAGAAUCUAGGGUAAGCUCGAACCGUCCCAAAUGAGGAGGGAAGAGAAGAGGAACUUGGUUCCUAAAUGGUCGAUUUGAAGGAUGAAAAUGAGUGGGAGAAGAGAUUUGAGAGUAAUCUAGGUUUGAGGGAGAAGAGAUGGAGAGCCUUAGGUUUGGAGGGAGGAAGAAGGUGGAGAGCU